rnacentral:rRNA from 1 species
UACGUAGGGUGCGAGCGUUAAUCGGAAUUACUGGGCGUAAAGCGUGCGCAGGCGGUUGUGCAAGACAGAGGUGAAAUCCCCGGGCUUAACCUGGGAACUGCCUUUGUGACUGCACGGCUGGAGUGUGUCAGAGGGGGGUAGAAUUCCACGUGUAGCAGUGAAAUGCGUAGAUAUGUGGAGGAAUACCGAUGGCGAAGGCAGCCCCCUGGGAUAACACUGACGCUCAUGCACGAAAGCGUGGGGAGCAAACAGG